rnacentral:rRNA from 1 species
AUGCUCUGCAGCACCUAUAUAAGCGAUCCAACCCAGCACACCUCUGCAUCUUCCACCGCACCGCACACACGAAGCACGCACGCAGACGCGAGUAUGGCACGCACCGCCGCCACGACGACAACGGCAGCUGCCGCGGCGCUGCUCCUGCUGGCGCUGGUGGCCACCAGCGCCAGCGCCGACGCAGUAGACGCGGCCGCUGGUGGCUAUGAGAUGACCGCUGCUGCAGCUGCCGGCGGUCGCCGCGGCGUCCGCGCCCAGCCGGCGGGGCUGACGCAGUGCAUGGGCGGGUGCGGGACGAGGGUCACCUCAUGCCUCCUCGACUGCUACAACACGUCCACCGGAGGGACCCUGCCCAUCUGCUUCCUCGGCUGCACCAACAACGCCGUCUUCUGCGCCACCGACUGCACCACCAAGGGGCUUUGA